CUGAGGAAAGACAGAGCUGAAAUUUGAACAUGAUCGUUUGAUGGCUAUGUCUAGAACUACUUUCACUAAACAAAGGAGACUGUAUGAUCACUUGACUAGAAUAUCUACAGCUAUAGAGAGGCCUAGAAAUGUUGGGAACCUAUAGUUAUAACUCCUGGUGUUUUACAAGUGUUAAAUAGGAAACGCCAAUUCAGAUUCCAGGUAGCAUUUAUACGCAGAUGGACAAUUCUACAGGAUGAAGGAAAUGAUUAUAUAAAGCAUGUUAGCGCACUGACUAAAUUGAAAAGCCUUUGAUAUGAGUCAUCCUUGAGCGCUGUGGAGGAAAGUAAGUGGGCAUUAUCUCAUUCUACAUAAAGGGAAGCAAACUCAUAAAUAUGGGAAGAAUAUUCUUUCUGCUCUCACACACUGAGACAGUGGACAAGAUGAGGUAAACCUUACAUUCCUUGCUUCCUAUGUCAUGUGGUAACCUCGUACUCCUAGAGCCCCAAACAGGCUGCUUUCCUGGGGAAGUAUUCAGGGCCUGCAGUGGGUGAGUGAACAAAAGCACUACACACUGAAGUGCCUGCCUCUCUAGUUUUGAUUUCAAGUCAGAGCUUGAACAUUCUUAGCCGAGAGUUCUGGGAUGAGAAAAAUGAGCAUCGGAGUAACGUCAGGUUCACCAGAAAGACUCAGCAUGGAUUCUUUUGUAUUUGAAGAAACCUGUACUGUGAUUUGAGCUGGUGUGUCCAUUUCUGGUUGAAUCUUUAAAGGAUUGCUUCACCUCAGGCCUGGUAUUUAACCCUUGCAUUUAGACUCCUGGCAAAUGAGAAAUGUUCAUUGGCUGGAUUAGACUAUGGUUCAUAAGGUGCCAGGUGAUCAGAGGGUGACAAAAUCAUAUACCCAUGACUCAAAGGAUCGAAGACACAAGGAGCAGGGGACACAGGGAAGAAAAAUAAAGGCAGAAAAUCCUGCUAGUGGAUCAAAGGCAUGCACAAGGGUUAGAAGGCCUGAACAUGCAGCUAUGUUUAAGGCUAACAGAAGCACACCACAUUGAAGUUAUUUAUUUGUUUAUUUUUAUGGCUGAGGAUGUCUUGAAGAGGACAUUUAAAUUAGGUUAGAAAACAUGACUUAAGUUGGUGGCUUGACAUUUCUGAGAUGCUACCUUUGGCCAGGUGAAUGUCCUAAAUGUGUUUAGUUUCCUGCUUUCACAGUACCGAGGGUGCCUUACACAUUGUAGAGUUCUUUAACACAUCUGUGAGGUAGGAAGAACAGUGGGAAAAAAUGCCUGACAUGGACUGAAUGGCUCACAGCAGGUGUGUAUGUCUCACAGAUGGGCCUGACUCUGGGUUUUCUGUUUCCCAGAGCAUCCCUGUGAAAGCUCAUGAGGCCAAUCUCAGUUUUUCUCAUUAGACAUCUGUUCCGGGGGAGAAAGGAGGAGAGCAAAGCACUGUGAGGGCUCAAGCAAGAGACUCCACAGUUUGUUGCAAAUGAGUCAUACACACAGUAUUGCUUAACAUAUACAGAAUAUAGGUCUGUAAUUAUGGAAACAUUUACACAGCUUCCACAAUAGAAAGUGUCAAUAAGCAGGUGUGUCUCAUAUUUACAAAAUAGACUCAUCGCAUUUCUAAAAUGUUCUUUUUCAAUAUAUUUCACGUUAGACUUGUGAUUUUUCUUUGGACAGCUAAUAGCUUUUUUGCCCUUUUCUGUGAUGAAUGAGUAGGUGCACAGAGUUGGCAAAUGCUAAUGACACAAUGCAAACUUUGAAGCAUAGGUAUGUUCACCAAAGUCCUAAAGCGGGAUGAUAAAGAACGUACGUGGUUUUCCUCAUUGUUCUGUGAGUACUGAAAGGCAAUCUUCUCAAGCACUAAUAAUUGAAGAACUUGGGUUGCAAGGAUGCUCAGGGCUCACUUGGCUUAUUUUUAAGCUUUAUUUAUUUAGUUGAAAGAGUGACAGAGAAGGAGGGACACAGAGAGGUCUUCCACCCACUGGUUUCCUGCUCAAAUGGCUACAAUGGUCAGGCAAGGGCCAGGCUGAAGCCAGGGACCUGGAAUGCCAUUUGGGUUUCCCAUAUGGUGGCAGGGGUCCAGGUACUUCCGUCAUCUUCCACUGCCUUCUUAAACCAUCAUCUGCCCUAUUUUUAUGGAAGAGAGCUGAGUACAAGAGAAUAAGUGAGAAAUUCUUCAGCUUCGCUUCUUGUUGGAAUCACCUAUGGAGAUUUAAAAACGAUGGCUGCCUAAGCCCUAUCUCCAGUCUGUGAUGUAGUUGGUUUGGUGAGUACUUAGGAACCUGGAGUUUGAAAACCCUCAUAGGUGAUUCUUCCAUGCAGUCCAUGAUUGGAAACCACUUUGUUAAGCAAGUUAUAUGAUACCACUUGUACUAAUUUACUUACAUGCUCUUAAUUAGAUUUGUCAGUAGGGACCAAAACUAUAAGAUCUUAAACUCUCUCUUCAGGACUCAAAACUUUUGUCUUGUAUUCCUUUGUUCUUCUGAUUUGCCUUCUCCUUCCUACUAUUCCAAUUUCAACUGUCAAAAUAAGUUACCAUAAAGAGUCAAUAGAGGCAUCAUUUGGAAGUGUAGCUGACUAAUCUGUAUUUGUGUGUUAACUAGAGACAAAAACCCUGCUAGAAAAAGCCUUCAUAACCUUGAAAUAAUAAACCAUAAGCCAUUACUUAAUUAGCCUGUGAGUAGACAAUCUGGUUUUUCUUUAUCAAGUAGACUAGCUGGCUCACCCAAGAGAUCUUCCAAGUCUUUAGUUCAAAACACUUGAAUAUGCAAGCUUAUUGUAUAGCUGGCAUCUGAGAACAGAAAGACUGUCACUUCAGUUGCAAAGACAACUAUUCUUUCUACUCAGUUGGGAUGUUUCCUCUCUAGUCCCAGUUCCUCUGUAAAUAUGAAAGACAGGAAAUCAGAAUUGUUUUCCUGAAACAAGAAUUAAGUAUAUUUGGCUGUGUUUGGACAAAAUGCGCCUCUUCAUGUGCUUUGAAAUCUGGGAAGCUGUGAAUUCUGUUAGCCCCGCAACUGUACCUUAAUAUGAGAACUCUGCUUUGUGCUUUAUACUGUUUGUCUUUAGAAACUUUAUAUAGUUCUUUCUAUAAGAUUGUAUUUAAGUAAUUAGACAAUUAUGAUUUCAUAUUUCUUUCAUAGAGCCUCACAGAAAGUAAGGCAUCUGAACAAUGAAUUCAUUGAUUAGAAUUCCUGCUGUUAUUAUAAGUUUUCUUCUCUAGGAUGAUAGCAUGUUGAUUUUUUUUCCUAUGGGAGGAUUAUAGGCAUUUGUGGAAAUUACCCGUUAGGAAUAUGUCUUUAUUUUAUUACAGUUAGUAAGGUGUAGAAAGAGAGAACAGAAAGAGUUAUGGAAGGUAAAAGAAAUACAUCACGAGGACUUAAUUCUGUAAUUUAGGACUUUUAUGCCUGACUUUAAAUUUUGGCCAUGAUUAACUAGGUUGUAUCAAAUUUUCUCUCACCAAAAUACAUAUGUGCCAAAUGAAGAACAAUUAAAUAAUCGUUUACAGGAAAUGAGCAGUCAACUGAGAUUCCUGUGACAAGUGACACACAGCAGCCACAUUCUGCCUUCAUCUUGUAUUUCUCUCCAAGGUGCUCUUUCUAAAUCAUUGCGUGGGAGAAUAGAACCCAAGCAGAAAUCAGCAGUCUUGCAGUCAGAGGAAACAGUUGCUGAUGUUCAAAGUUACUGUGGUGACUGGAAUUUGAGAAGGUAAAUAUUAGCUAGGAGAGAGCUGUAGAGAAAGAAUCCCAAAAAACCAACAUAAAAAUUCACUUUGAGUCUUUGGCUGACUCAUAAAGUUCUGCAAUCACAGAAUGAGAUUUUUGGGAGACAGCAGAGAAAAGAUGCAGAUUUCUGAAGUCGUUCAGUCCUAGGAAGACACUGACUCCAGCUGGUGAAUUCCAUUUUACUGCAAAUGACAGGAUUUCAUUUUUUUUAAACCACUGAGUAGUAUUCCAUGGUGUAUAAAUACCGUAAUUUCUUUAUCUAGUCAUCAGUUCAUGGACAUCUGGGUUGAUUCCACAUCAUAGCUAUUGUGAAUUGAGCUGAAAUGAAUAUGGGGGUACAGAUAACUCUUUCAUUUGAUUUCAUUUUGUUUGGGUAAAUUCCCAGGAGUGGAAUUGCUGGAUCAUAUGGUAGAUCUAUUUUCAGAUUUCUGAGAUGUCUCCAUACUGUCUUCCACAAUGGCUGUACCAGUUUACAUUCCCCACAAUAGUGGAUUAGGCUAUCUUUCCCUCCACAUCCUUGCAAGUAUUUAUUGCUGGUUGAUUUCUGUAUAAGACCUAUUCUAAAUGGGUUGAGGUGAAACCUCAUUGUGGUUUUGAUUUGCAUUUCCUGAUGGCUGGUGAUCCUGAUCAUUUUUCAUGUGUCUGUUGGCCAUUUGGAUUUCCUCUUUUGAGAAAUGUCUGUUUAAGUGUUUUGCCCAUUUCUCGACUAGGUUGUUUGUUUUGUUGUUGUUGAGUUUUUUGAUCACUUUAUAUAUUCUGGUUAUUAAUCCUUUAUUCUGGUUAUUUGCAUGGUUUGCAAAUAAUUUCUCCCAAUUUGUUGGUUGCCUCUUCACUUUCCUGUUUCUUUUGCAGUACAGAAGCUUCUCAAUUUGAUGUAAUCCCAUUUAUUAAUUUUGGCUUUUAUUGCCUGUGCCUUUGGGGUCUUUUCCAGGAACUCUGCCUGUGUCUGGCUUUGUUUUUGUUAUUUAAGUUUGCUUUGGCUAGUCUGGGUCUCCUAUGUAUCCAUAUGAAUUUCAGCAUCAUUUUUCUAUAUCUGAGAAGAAUGUCCUUGGUAUUUUGAUUGGAAUUGCAUGGAAUCUGAAUUUUGUAUUUGAUAGGGUGGACAUUUUUGAUGAUAUUGACUCUUCCAAUGAAUGAACAUGGAAGAUUUUUUCCAUUUUUUGUGUCUUUCUCUAUUUCUUUCUUUAACGUUUUUUAGUUUUUAUAGUAGAGAUCUUUGCAUCCUUGGUUAAAUGUAUUCUAAGGUAUUUAAAUUUUGAAGCCAUUGUGAGUGGGAUUGUUCUUAGAAGUUCUUUCUCAAUGCACAGCACAUUAAGCUGUGCAUUGAGAUUUAAUGCUAUAACGAGUACUCAAACAAUAUAUUUCACUUUGUGUUUCUAUGGGGGUGCAAACUGUUGAAAUCUUUACUUAAUGCAUACUAAACUGAUCCUCUGUAAAAAAAAAAAAAAAAAGAAAUUAUCAACUCCCAACUUGACUCUCACUGGGAUUAAACAUGACAAUAGGUCUGAUCUGAUUUCAUCAUCAUUAAAAAAAAAUCAUCUAUUAUUUUUCACUUUAUGUUUCUGUGUGGGAGCAAACUGUUGAAAUCCUUACUUAAUGUAUACUAAGCUGAUCUUCUGUAUAUUAAGAUAAUCAAAAAUGAAUCUUGAUGUGAAUGGAAGGGGAGAGGGAGUGGGAAAGGGGAGGGUUGUGGGUGGGAGGGACGGUAUGGGGGGGAAGCCAUUGUAAUCCAUAAAUCGUACUUUGGAAAUUUAUAUUCAUUAAAUAAAAGUUAAAAAAAAAAGUUCUUUCUCAACAAUGGCCUUAUCUGUGUAUACAAAAGCUAUUUUUUUGUGUGUUAAUUUUAUAUCCUGCCACUUUACCAAAUUAUUUUAUGAACUCCAAUAGUAUCUCAGUGGAGUCUUUUGCAUAUCCUAUAUAUAGAAUCAUGCCAUCUACAAACACUGAUAGUUUGACUUCCUCCUUCCCAAUUUGUAUUCCUUUGAUUUUUUUUCUUGCCUAAUGGUUCUGGCUAAAAAAAAUCCAGGGCUAUAUUGAAUAGCAAUGGU